CAGCAGCCACGGGAAUACGAAGGGUGCAAGCGUUAAUCGGAAUUACUGGGCGUAAAGCGUGCGUAGGCGGUUGUGUAAGACAGGUGUGAAAUCCCCGGGCUUAACCUGGGAACUGCGCUUGUGACUGCACAGCUAGAGUAUGGCAGAGGGGGGUGGAAUUCCACGUGUAGCAGUGAAAUGCGUAGAGAUGUGGAGGAACACCGAUGGCGAAGGCAGCCCCCUGGGCCAAUACUGACGCUCAUGCACGAAGGCGUGAGGAGCAAACAGGAUUAGAUACCCCAGUAGUCCCUGUCUCUUAUAC
rnacentral:rRNA from 1 species